UAAACGCCAGAAAACAAAGACGAGGUGCAGAGCACACGUCUGACUUUUGCCCACUUCCACCGCGUGUUCACUUCCGUGAGCACACAGUCGCUCGUUCCACCAAACGCCGACAGUCGCCUUACGUGAGGGGGUAAUCUUCACUGCAAAGCAAGCGGCAGCGCGGAGGCUUUAUUAUUCCUCGUCGGACAAAUAAAGUGAUAUAGCGGUGUGUGUGUGUGUGCCCACGUAGCAUACACGCUUACACCACACAUCAUAGGAAGGGUCGUUCUCUCUUCUCUUUACGCCUCCCUCCCCUCCCCCCAUUUUGCCUCCUCAUCGGCGUUUGGCCAUCUUCUGUGAUCUGAAUCGCCAGCAUCCCGCACUCGCCAUCCUCUGCCUCAACCCUCCCUCCGCGCCGUGUUUUGUCUCUCACGUAGCGUCACCGACGUCUGGGUAGCACACCCGCCCAGGUACGCGCACAGAGACACGGGGGAUCGUCAAGUCGAAGCGACUAAGAGAGUGGGAUACCCAGACCAGGGUGGGAGCAGACGUAGAAGGGACAUGUCUGCCGUCAGCCCGCCCAGCGGGCAACUGACGCCACCGACGGCUUUCAUCGCCACACCAUCCGGCUUCAACGCCAGCGGCUCUGCCCCGUCCUUCGUCAAGGUGUACUGCGGCAACGACGAGUGUGUUCCGCUCAGCAAGCAGUGCACUGGCGGCGUCUUCCAGGGCGUCCUCUCCGACCUUGCAAACCGCGUCAGCAAGCACGAGGCGCAGGAUCGGGGCAGUCGCAGUCACCGCGUGAAGACUGUGGGAAGUGCCGCCGCGGCAGACGGGGCAGCCUUGGCUCUGGGGACUGUGGCUGGAAGCGGCGGCAGCGACGGCAAGGGUGAGCCGACGCCGCCGGCCUCAGAAGAUCGUGUGGGUACUGCGGGGACCCGUGGCAGGGUGGCGAAGGGAGGCGGUGCUAGUGCGAAAAAGAAGCAAUCUGCGCCGCUGCUGUCUACGUCACCGCUGCUUCUGCCAGCAUCGAAGGGUGUUGCCCCGGCUGCGCCAUCCACAGAGCCAUUCCACUCCACCGACACCUCACCCACCACUGAUACAGCCGCUGCGUCGGUAGGUGACCCGCUUGCAGGUGAGAGUGGUGUUCGUGUGGCAUGCGAUGUCGUGUACCGCCGCGCGGAGCUUCUACCGCUCAGUUUCGUGCGCGACGUCGCGUCGAACAGCAGGGUAACGGCACUGUACAAGCAACACCUUCAGCUUCAAGAGGAGCUUCAGCGCCAUCAGCUCGAGCAACAGCAGCUACAGAAGCAGAAAGAGGAUGAUGAUGACGCUGCCUCCGCCGCGGCUGCCAAGGCGGCGAAAAACGAUGCGUCAGAUGCUGCAAGCAACCAGAGCACUGCAGGUCGCGCUGAUGGGAAAGGAGGCAAGAUACCAAGCAGCAAGCCCGCUCCUCGACGGCGCGGGAUGCCAAGCGUGAGCCGAGGCGGUAGCGCUAUCUCUGGAAACCGAGUUUCAUGUUCUGUUAGCUCCGCUGCAACUUCUGCGGUCGCUGCGACGGCGCUGGCUGCCCAGAUCCGCACACAGCUCUGGACCGCUUUGCGGAACACAAUCCCCUUCUUCGGCGUGCUGACGAUGCCCGUUCACACACCCAUGGAGCCACUUAUCAGCCUGCCAGCAUCGGCAUCUGCAAGUGGUGCGAGCACCGCCGCUGCGAGGGCCGCAGCAGCGACGACGACGCCGCCGGUAGCAGGUGUGGUGUCCGCGGCUACGGCCGUCUGUAGCGGCUCUUAUGUGCUGCUGGGAUGCCGCGAGCGACCGCGCGAGGAAACGAUUUCGGCCGACGCGACACCGGUGUUUUCCCAAGCGGGGCGAUGCGCGUCCGGUGCUCUGUCCUUCAUCGGCGGGGUCGCUGCGUGUCCAAGCAUGUCUGCUGUGGAGCGGCUGGUGGAGCAGGCCCACGAGGCAUCCGUGACGCGGCUUCCGCCCCUCAGUAGCGACGCUGUGCUUCGCAGCAACGGCGGCACGACCGCAUCCGGGGCCAACAGCGAAGGCGCAAAGCGGUCGCCGCGAAAGCAGCGCCUGCACCCGAGGGAUCUGCAGGAGCAGGUGUCGCAGCAGUCGCUGCCGUUGCGGUGCACGCUGCACCCCACCACCAACCGUGUCGUGCCGAUGUUGCCUCCGCUUCCAGAUGACAUCGCGGCCGGCUACGGCGCUGCGAGGCUGGUGACGAAGUCGCUCGGUCAAUCUGCUGCGGGCCGCAGCGGAGACGCGGACGACUCCACGACGCCGUCGGGAACUCGUAUCAGCAGGAUCGCCGCUAACGGCCGCGGCUGCGGUAACCCUGAUCGAGCACAUCGACGCUCCUUAGAUGAGCCUACCGACGGCUUUGUGAGUGCAGUGAACGCCUCUGCGGCUGCUGGUCUGAGACGCCCACUGUCGAGCAGUAAGGAUGCGCCACCGACGGGGCUUGCGAAGGGCAGAGCCGGCGCUGGGCCGCUCUCUGACGAAGUCGGCGUCGAAGGUGGCGAGGAGGCAACGUUAAUGAACGCACAGCAGCCGUCGAAUGCUGCUGCCGCUUCACAUGGCCCUCUCUCUCCAUCUACCGUGCCGCAUGCGAGUUCGGCCGUGGGGCCGAGCGGCAGCACAUACCGGGACGGUGACGGACCCGGAAAAGGAAUGGAGCCAGGUGUACCCCUCUCCGCAGCCGCCAUCGCCCGCCUCGCGCCUUCCACUCGGUUUACGGUGCAGCUGUCCAGCUGCACCGUAACCUUGACUACGCAGACCCGGAAGGGAGUGGGGAUGAACGCCGCUGACGCCGCAUCCCCCAACACCACUGGCGCGGCAAACAGCAUCAGCGGUACCGGUAGGAUCGCCACCGGCAGUUGUGAGGUCGACACCUAUGCAGACGAGCUUACCCUCGUGUUUGACGGGCUGGAUGUGCUCUGGCACGGUCCCAAUGGCGAGGAGGCGUUGCUGCAGUGGGUUCUGGAUGAGUACUCUAUUCUACUGAAGCAGCGUAUGGCAGCUGCCAUGGCGCAGUGGACGUCGAUGGUGCACGCCAGUGACACCAGCGCUGGCGCCGCCGGCGAGUCCUCCUCCAAGGCGAACAAGAUGCGGCGCCAACUACCGAGCGAGCGUGUACAGGCGUAGCAUGAUGGCGGCUGCUUGCGUUCGACCAGAGGCGGAUUCGCAAAGAGAGGGACACGCAAGCACCUCCCCACUUUUCCUUCUAUACUCCUCACACACACACGACGUACACGGACCCCCUUCCCCCGUUCAUUCCGCAUGGGUCUUCUAUCGUUUUUGUCCCUCCCUCCCUCUCUGCCGCCGCGCUCUGGUCGCCGGGAUUUGGCGCUCUUUUUCUCUCGCACACGAGCGCGUCGUUCCUCCUUUGCACCCCCUCCACCCAUGCGCGCCGCGCCUAUGAGUUUGCGUGUGCGGCCACGCGACGGGCGCGCCAUUCACAGGAGGCAUCGUGCAGUGGAGGAGGGGUGCUGGGGUAGUGGGGGCUGGGGGCGUGCUCAGCGAGGAACAGGAGGUAUGCACGUGUGAAAUACGCUGUUCUUACACCUCUCUCCUGUCCACCCAUCGACACACGGUCAUCGUCGUCUCUCUCUCUCUCCUGUUAUUCUAACAGCCUUCUUCGGCAGAAGCCGAGCAGCAGCGAAGUUUUAUGGCUCCUCUCUCGGUGUAUGGUGUGACAUUCCGUGGGCACCCCCUCCCCCUCCUUUCCUGCGUCUGCCACAUCCGAUGUAAGUCGAGUAUAAUACACGAUGGAAACAGAGAGCAGUAACGUCAUGUGGUGUUGUGCUCUGAACUCUUUCGUUAUGUAUAGGAAUACGUCUCCCCCCUCCCUCUGUCCAUCUCUCGUCUUUUUUUUGUGAGGCGUCAUGCUGGAAAGCUUCCGCUGCCGCUUCCUAGGCGACAUGCACACAAACCCAUUCCAGCACACACACACACACACACACACACACACACGCACGCACGCACUCACGCAGCUGCGCUUCGCUCAAAUGUAAUGCGUGGCCGCUUCGCGUGUUUGUGUGUGUGAGUGGGACCAUGUACUUGUAUAAGCACUUUCCUUCUUGUUCCUCCUCCCACCCACCUCCCCUCUCGAUCUCCCUCCAUGAUCGUGUAUGUGUGCCUGCGUUCUCUACUGGACCGUGACGGUAGUCUACCGAUGCGCCUUCCUCCUUGUUUCAUGCGUAUCUCUUUCUCUCUCUCUGUGCGGGUGCCGCUCUUGUCUUUCCUUCCACAUUCCAGCGAUCUGAGCUUCCUUCUUCACCGCUCUCCUUCCCAUCCCUCCCCCUCUCUCGGCCACUAUGCCUGCGCGUGUGUGGGACGCGCAGGCGUUUAUGUACUCGGGCCGCCACUGCAGGCCCCCCCCCCCCCCCCCCCUCGCUCCUCAUCUCUCUCACCUCCUGUUCUGUUGUUGUUGUUUCUGUUCCCGGUCUUUUACUCAACUUGAACGUCUCUGUACAGCCUCCCUCCCUUCCCUCCCCCCAUGACGCACAUGCACACGACCUGCUUUGCCAUGUGUCAUGCUGUUCGCCGUAUAGCGGCUCCCCGUUGCUGUUGUGCCGCUGUCUCACGCUGUUGGCGACCCUGCGCGUGUAUAUAUACACACAUACAUACAUAUGUAUACACACGUACACACGCGCGCGUAUGUCUGUGUGUGCGUGUCGAUGCCGAGAUAUUUCGCGAGAGGUGGAUGAGGGCGCGCUGUUGUCGGUGUGGUGACGGCGUGUGCGGAGCAAGGUUCCCUUUCUUGGCCACACACGCAGACAGACCUGCGCCUUCUUUCGCUUCUCUUGUCACCGCGGGCUGUGUUGACAUCGCUGUUAGGUCGGCGACUAGUUGAGCAGGACGAACGAUGUACAUUACGCCGCCGACACCGCCACCACCCCUCAGCCAAACAAGCGAACACGCUGCGCCGUCCUUUCACAUAUAACAUCUCUCUCUCGCUCUCCCUCCCUCUGCUCCUGAUGGCACACACGCACACACACGCACACAUGCACAGGGGUACAGAUACACGUACGUCUCCAGGUCGAGCCUGAAGAUGCAGACACGAAAACAGAGGUAUCGUAGUGGAAGCGCUGGCUGCGUAUGCAUCGGCGCCGCUCACUCCCUCGCUCUCUUCGUCUGCCGCUCUUUCUGUGUGUCUGCGCGUGUGAAGUCGUGUGUGCAGAAAAGGAAAAGGGGGGACGGAGGCGGGGGAUCGUUGCAGGGAUCGGUGCAGCGGUAUGUAUGUUUUUGUGGUUUCCGAUUUCUCUCGCUUCUCGCUUGCCAUUUUUCGCUGCCUCCGCUGGUGUGGCUUUUCCUUUCCUUACUUGGACGUCUUCCGUGUCCCCUCCACUCCCCCUUCUUUCUCCAUCUGUGAUUCUCUCGCUCCAUGUCUGUG
rnacentral:misc_RNA from 1 species